UGGYUUACCUCCUCAGUUAUGCGUCAAGGCUUGUAUCGCCUAGAGCGUAUUGUUGGUUUUYUGUAUUGGAUACCUAAUCGAAGGUAUUAUUUUGAUCGAUUGGAGUCCCUUUUCGUCUUGUGUUGCAUUUUGUGUCGCAUGAUGAACUUUGAAGCGGUCUCUAUGAUCCAUCACGUUGAUGCACUUGCAUUGAUGUUGUGGCCCAUUGAGCUUUGUUUGGUUUCUUGGAUAUGGAACAUGAAGUGGGCAUGGGGCUGUCAUGAUCCUCUUUUUGCCCUCGUAUGGUGUUCUCSAACGACGGGUCAUGCGCGCCUAGGCUCGUACCU
rnacentral:misc_RNA from 1 species